AUUGAACGCUGGCGGCAGGCCUAACACAUGCAAGUCGCACGAGUGGCGGACGGGUGAGUAAUGUCUGGGAAACUGCCCGAUGGAGGGGGAUAACUACUGGAAACGGUAGCUAAUACCGCAUACCAUCGGAUGUGCCCAGAUGGGAUUAGCUUGUAGGUGAGGUAACGGCUCACCUAGGCGACGAUCCCUAGCUGGUCUGAGAGGAUGACCAGCACAAGUGGAACUGAGACACGGUCCAGAAUCCUACGGGAGGCAGCAGUGGGGAAUAUUGUACAAUGGGAGCAAGCCUGAUGCAGCCAUGCCGAGUGGAGGAAGAAGGCCUUCGGGUUGUAAAGUACUUUCAGCGGGGAGGCGUUACCCGCAGAAGAAGCACCGGCUAACUCCGUGCCAUCCUCCGCGGUAAUAC
rnacentral:rRNA from 1 species